rnacentral:lncRNA from 1 species
CUUACUUUUGCAUUUGGAAACACUGGUACAUUUUGUCAUGAGCACUAGACUCUAUUUUAGAUGAAUCUUGACCAUUUUAGUAAUUAAACAAGCACUUAAAAUUUGGAGGGCUGCCUUUGAAAGGACACACUGCAAUUACAUAUAGCAUAUCUUCUGCAUAAAGGAUUCCUAAGCCUUGGGUGCUCACUGAGUUAAAACAGUUUCAAUGAUUGAACAUUACUUCUGUAGUAUCACAAAGUCAUUAAGAACCAAAGAGAAGCAUGUAAUCCCAGUGACUCUGGAGGCUAGGCCAGGACAAUCAAAAACUCAAGGCCCACCUCAGUAACUGAGUGAGAACUUGUCUCAAAAUUAAAAGGGCUGGAGAUGUAGCUUGGUGAUAAGCUGUUGCCCCUCAGUUCAAUGCCCACUACCAGAAGAAAACUAAGAGAAGCCAAUGAAGGUCACUUGUCUAUAGUGUCAAACUUGGAAAGGAGAUGAAAUGCUUAAGUGAAGCAGCCUAAGAAUAAACUCAAGAAGGGAAAAAGUAUAUUCCCAAACUUUGCAUAGGCUUAAAGCAAACAUUUUUGGAAGAGAGAUGGGUGUUUGAGUUAAAAUGUUGGCAAAAGAUGGGUCUGUAAAAAGGAUGCUGAAAACUCUUUGGCAAGAGCAAAAUGCCCUUAAAACUUUUGUAAAGUUACACAAAACAUUUGGCUGUGGCCCCACAUCAACCCUCCUUUCAGUACAGUGGUCUUGGAGCUCUGUCACUUUACCCUGAGCACCCAUCCCCUCAGAAUGCUCUGCCUCUAGAGGUGAGGAGGUCAAUGACAUUGUAGCCUAAAGCAUUGACCUCCCUUGGAGGUGGGUCUAACUAGGC